AUGGGUGGCGGCGAUGACACCGCGGCCGCACGUUCAGAUCUGGGUGACUUCCUCAAACAGUUGGAUCUAAAUGAUGAUGACUUUGCUGAUGUGGAUAUCGAUGAUGAUGAUCCAGCGAUUCAAGAAAGCGUCCGCUGGCUUGCCAUAGCCAGGGUCCAUACAAGCAGGAGCUUCAACCUGUCUUCCUUCUACAAGGAUAUGAGGGCUGCAUGGAACCCUGCACAGGACGUGAGAUUUCGACCGGUUGUCCCUAAUCAUUUUGUUGUCCAAGCAUCUUGCUUGGGGGAUUGGGAGCGCAUAAUGAAUCAAGGACCUUGGCUGUUCCGCAAUAUGGCUGUGCUCUUGUGCCUGUAUGACGGCUUUAGUAAGGCGGAGGAGGUGGAAUUCUUUCAUGUUCCAAUUUGGCUACAAAUCCAUAUAGUGGAGAAGCUGUUGAAAGAUGCAGGAGAGAUUUUGGACAUGCGUUUCAACGGUAAUACCCGAGGUGAUUAUGUUAGGGUUAGGGUGAAACAUGAUAUCUGA
rnacentral:rRNA from 1 species